rnacentral:rRNA from 1 species
AUUGAACGCUGGCGGCAGGCCUAACACAUGCAAGUCGAGCGAGCGGCGGACGGGUGAGUAAUGUAUGGGGACUGCCCGAUAGAGGGGGAUAACUACUGGAAACGGUAGCUAAUACCGCAUACUAUCGGAUAACCCAUAUGGGAUUAGCUAGUAGGUGAGGUAAUGGCUCACCUAGGCGACGAUCCCUAGCUGGUCUGAGAGGAUGAUCAGCAAAACGGGGACUGUGACAGGGCCCCGCUUCCUACGGGGGAAGCAGUGGGAAAUUUGGCACAAUGGGCGCAAGCCUAAUGCAGCCUUGCCGCGUGUAUGAAGAGGGCCUUAGGUUUGUAAAGUACUUUCAGUCGGGAGGCGUUACCGACAGAAGAAGCACCGGCUAACUCCGUGCCAGCAGCCGCGGUAAUAC